GAUGAACGCUAGCGGCAGGCCUAAUACAUGCAAGUCGAACGGUGUCUUCGGACAUAGUGGCGCACGGGUGCGUAACACGUAUGCAACCUACCUUACAUUGGGGGAUAGCCUUUCGAAAGGGAGAUUGAUACCGCAUAAGACAGUAGCUGGGCAUCCAGCAGCUGUUAAAGAUUUAUCGAUGUAAGCUGGGCAUGCGUCCAAUUAGCUAGUUGGUGAGGUAACGGCUCACCAAGGCAAUGAUUGGUAGGGGAACUGAGAGGUCAAUCCCCCACACAGGCACUGAGCGACGGGCCAGACUCCUACGGGAGGCAGCAGUAGGGAAUAUUGGGCAAUGGACGCAAGUCUGACCCAGCCAUGCCGGGUGCAGGAUGAAGGCGUUAUGCGUUGUAAACUGCUUUUAUACAGGAAGAAACGACUCUUGCGAGAGGCAUUGGCGGUACUGUAUGAAUAAGCACCGGCUAACUCCGUGCCAGCCGCCGCAGUAAUAC
rnacentral:rRNA from 1 species